CUUGGUCAUUUAGAGGAAGUAAAAGUGUAACAAGGUCUCCCGUUGGUGAACCAGCGGAGGGAUCAUUAC
rnacentral:rRNA from 1 species